GGAUGGGGAUGCGUUCCAUUAGUUAGUUGGCGGGGUAACGGCCCACCAAGACAACGAUGGAUAGGGGUUCUGAGAGGAAGGUCCCCCACAUUGGAACUGAGACACGGUCCAAACUCCUACGGGAGGCAGCAGUGAGGAAUAUUGGUCAAUGGACGAGAGUCUGAACCAGCCAAGUAGCGUGAAGGAUGACUGCCCUAUGGGUUGUAAACUUCUUUUAUAUGGGAAUAAAACGUUCCACGUGUGGAAUUUUGUAUGUACCAUAUGAAUAAGGAUCGGCUAACUCCGUGCCAGCAGCCGCGGUAAUACGGAGGAUCCGAGCGUUAUCCGGAUUUAUUGGGUUUAAAGGGAGCGUAGGUGGAUUGUUAAGUCAGUUGUGAAAGUUUGCGGCUCAACCGUAAAAUUGCAGUUGAAACUGGCAGUCUUGAGUACAGUAGAGGUGGGCGGAAUUCGUGGUGUAGCGGUGAAAUGCUUAGAUAUCACGAAGAACUCCGAUUGCGAAGGCAGCUCACUGGACUGCAACUGACACUGAGGCUCGAAAGUGUGGGUAUCAAACAGGAUUAGAUACCCUGGUAGUCCACACAGUAAACGAUGAAUACUCGCUGUUUGCGAUAUACAGCAAGCGGC
rnacentral:rRNA from 1 species